CUGGACGGUGCUCUGAAAGCAAUCUAGAUAUUUCUCCAUUAAAUAAUUGUGAACACGAGGAAUAUUCCUCCUACUGCCAUUGAAAAAGUCCGUGAACGAGCUCAGGAGGAAUCUGGGCUGAAGAUUGCUUUCAAACUUGUAACAGAUUUUUUUUGAAGUGUAUGUGUGUGUAUAUAUACAAAUAAAUAUAUAUAUACACACAUAUGUACACAUAUAUGUAUGAAAAUUCCUCAUGGUCAAACAUCAGUCAAAGGGAAUGCAGUUUGUCUGUGUUUUGGCUUAGACUGGCAAAGAGGAAAUUAAAUUCUUCAUAGGAUUAUUAAACCAUCCUAAAAAAAAUGGAACAUUUAAGUGAGAAUAGGAAAAACAUGAAGCAGAAGAGGAAGACAAAUGAGAAAGGCAUGCAUGCAAAACUAAACCCAACAGCCAUUAUUAGGUGACUUCUCACAUCUGGGUUUCGGGAGAAGCAGAAAGCUGAUGAGCCAAUUGACCAUAGGGAUUGCCUAUACGGAUGUUUUAAAGAUGUUGGCAAGAAUGAAGUAAAUCACCUCUUGAGGCUUUGAAGAAAGAGGAAAUUCCGGAAAUAUGAGUGAAUAGGAGUCAGACAUAGCAGUUAAUUCAAGAGGAAUCCAUUUGAAUUAAAAAUAUGAAGAAACCCAAAUGGUGGAUGUUUUUGGAUGUAGUUAAAAACAAAACAAUGUUGGAAACACAGGCUUGAUUUGCCUUUCAUUAUUUAAAAAUAAAAAUUGCCCAACUUUUUUUUUCAA